GAUGAACGCUGGCGGCGUGCCUAAUACAUGCAAGUCGAGCGAACGGACGAGAAGCUUGCUUUUCUGAUGUUAGCGGCGGACGGGUGAGUAACACGUGGAUAACCUACCUAUAAGACUGGGAUAACUUCGGGAAACCGGAGCUAAUACCGGAUAAUAUUUUGAACCGCAUGGUUCAAAAGUGAAAGACGGUCUUGCUGUCACUUAUAGAUGGAUCUGCGCUGCAUUAGCUAGUUGGUAAGGUAACGGCUUACCAAGGCAACGAUGCAUAGCCGACCUGAGAGGGUGAUCGGCCACACUGGAACUGGGACACGGUCCAGACUCCUACGGGAGGCAGCAGUAGGGAAUCUUCCGCAAUGGGCGAAAGCCUGACGGAGCAACGCCGCGUGAGUGAUGAAGGUCUUCGGAUCGUAAAACGCUGUUAUUAGGGAAGAACAUAUGUGUAAGUAACUGUGCACAUCUUGACGGUACCAAAUCAGAAAGCCACGGCUAACUACGU
rnacentral:rRNA from 1 species